rnacentral:rRNA from 1 species
CCUACGGGUGGCAGCAGUGAGGAAUAUUGGUCAAUGGACGAGAGUCUGAACCAGCCAAGUAGCGUGAAGGAUGACUGCCCUAUGGGUUGUAAACUUCUUUUAUAAAGGAAUAAAACGAGGCACGUGUGCCCUUUUGCAUGUACUUUAUGAAUAAGGAUCGGCUAACUCCGUGCCAGCAGCCGCGGUAAUACGGCGGAUCCGAGCGUUAUCCGGAUUUAUUGGGUUUAAAGGGAGCGUAGAUGGGUUGUUAAGUCAGUUGUGAAAGUUUGCGGCUCAACCGUAAAAUUGCAAUUGAUACUGGCAGUCUUGAGUACAGUUGAGGGAGGCGGAAUUCGUGGUGUAGCGGUGAAAUGCUUAGAUAUCACGAAGAACCCCGAUUGCGAAGGCAGCUUACUAAACUGUGACUGACAUUGAUGCUCGAAAGUGUGGGUAUCAAACAGGAUUAGAUACCCCAGUAGUC